rnacentral:rRNA from 1 species
GACGAACGCUGGCGGCAGGCCUAACACAUGCAAGUCGAACGAGUGGCGGACGGGUGAGUAAUGUCUGGGAAACUGCCCGAUGGAGGGGGAUAACUACUGGAAACGGUAGCUAAUACCGCAUACCAUCGGAUGUGCCCAGAUGGGAUUAGCUAGUAGGUGGGGUAACGGCUCACCUAGGCGACGAUCCCUAGCUGGUCUGAGAGGAUGACCAGCCACACUGGAACUUGGACCCGGUCCAGACUCCGACGGGAGGCAGCAGGGGGGGAUGUUGCACAAUGGGCGAAAGCCUGAUGCAGCCAUGCCGCGUGUAUGAAGAAGGCCUUCGGGUUGUAAAGUACUUUCAGAGAGGAGGCGUUACUCGCAGAAGGAGCACCGGCUAACUCCGUGCCAGCAGCCGCGGUAAUAC